GACGGAAGGUGCAAGCGUUGCUCGGAAUCACUGGGCGUAAAGGGUGCGUAGGCGGCCGUGCAAGUCUGGCGUGAAAGCCCCGGGCUCAGCCCGGGAAGUGCGCUCGAAACUGCGCGGCUCGAGUGCCGGAGGGGAGAGUGGAAUUCCUGGUGUAGCGGUGAAAUGCGUAGAUAUCAGGAGGAACACCAGAGGCGAAGGCGGUUACCUGGACAGUUACUGACGCUCAGGCACGAAAGCAUGGGGAGCAAAAGGG
rnacentral:rRNA from 1 species